rnacentral:rRNA from 1 species
AUGGGUGUUUUACGUAGAAAUACUAUUUUUGCUUAUUUUGACAAUCCACGAUACAGAAAAGAUAAAAAGGGUUUAGGAAUUGUUAAAUUUAGAUAUAGGACCCUAGAAGAAGAAUAUAGGACACGAGAAGACGUAUAUGGGAGCCCAGAAAACGAAUAUGGGAACCCAGAGAACGAAUAUAGGACUUUAGAGAAAGACUCAUAAGAGGAAUAUCGGAGCCCAGAGAGCAAAUAUAGGACCCAAGAGGAUGAAUAUGGAACUCUAGAGGAAGACUCAGAAGACGAAUAUGGCAACCCCGGGGAAAGUGCAGAGGAAAAGUAUGGUACUUUAGAGGAAGACUCAGAAGAAGAUUCAGAGGACAAAUAUGAGAGCCCAAAGGAAGAUUCCAUCUUAAAAAAAGAGGGUUUGAUUGAGCAUCGAGGAAAAAAAGAAUUUAGCCUAAAAUACCAAAAAUAA